rnacentral:lncRNA from 1 species
AAUGUUUUAACAUUCAACUCAGCAGUCCUGAAAAUGCCUUUCAACAAAUAUUCAUUGUAAAACUAAUUUAAACACAAAUGAAAUAACCUAAGUAACUGACACCAAGAUCUGAAUGAGUUCAUUUUAGUACUUACUGCCCAAAUGUGUUAUUUCAGAUUUUAUUGUUGCACUUUUUAAAGCUGAGAUACGUAGUUCUUUCAGGAAACCUUGUUGUGCUGGUUUGAAGCCAACCUGGUUAAUUCUGAUUCAAGAGUGAUAUUUGGAUAGUUCUUGUUCUCAAGUGCACAUAAGUUUCCCAUCAGGUAGAUAAUUUCAGUCUGAUAAUACCUGCCAGUGACCUAACUACCCACAUUGGUGACACAGAUGCUAGAUCUCUAUAAUUCAUUUCUUUACU